rnacentral:misc_RNA from 1 species
CGUGCAUGGGAGCAGCUGGGG